AACGAACGCUGGCGGCAGGCUUAACACAUGCAAGUCGAGCGCCCCGCAAGGGGAGCGGCAGACGGGUGAGUAACGCGUGGGAAUCUACCCAGCUCUACGGAAUAACUCAGGGAAACUUGUGCUAAUACCGUAUACGUCCUCCGGGAGAAAGAUUUAUCGGAGCUGGAUGAGCUCGCGUUGGAUUAGCUAGUUGGUGGGGUAAUGGGCCACCAAGGCGAGGAUCCAUAGCUGGACAGAGAGGAGUAUCAGACACAUUGGGACUGACACAGGGCCCAGACUCAUGCGGGAGGGAGAUGGGGGAAAUGUUGGACAGUGGGCGAGAGCCUAUUCCAGCCAUGCCGCGUGAGUGAUGAAGGCGCUAGGGUUGUAAAGCUCUUUCACCGGUGAAGAUAAUGACGGUAACCGGAGAAGAAGCCCCGGCUAACCUCGUGCCAGCCGCCGCCGUAA
rnacentral:rRNA from 1 species